UCGUGCUGGGGUCUCACUGUGAGACUGACCUGUCGAACCAGACCCCGUUCAGACAGUGAGAAACUGCCACAUGAGAGUAGGUAAGAAGAAUCUAGAGCAUGUAGUCUAGAGAAAAACAAUUCAGGAGUGACACACUACUCAAGGUUCUCCACAUUCCUGAGGGCAGACUCAGUGUGUGGACAUUACAGAGAGAGAGAUUUCAGCUUCAAACCCAAAAGAAAUGUUUAAUAAUUCUGAGCGGGCAUUGGCUGAAUCAGGACACAAUGCAGUCUCUGGAGCUGAUGUCUCCACGCAGAAGCCAGGACAUUACUCAGGACUCCCGAAUGGGGCUGAGCACGUGAGCCGCUAAAACUGCGUGUGGGGGAGCUAGCUCCCCAUCUCAUCCCGCCACAUCGUGGAGGAAGGGGCGUCUGCAACAGGGGCCCUAAGGCUGGGGAAGGAGGCGAUGCCUUUUGCUUCUGGAGGACGGGUGUCAUGCUCAGAGGAAAGUAUCCUUGGGAACAGAGGUGGUGCUGUGCAGAGGCGAGCCUUCAGGGUUUCAAGUGCUUGGACCUCGCCCAGCUCUGGCCGGGUGCCGGGAAUUGAGAUGGUGUCAGGUGACAAGAGGCCACCUUCCCUGCAGCUGGCCUCCUCCUCAGGCUGUGAUGAAGGAGUCAGAAUACCUGCAACGGCCACACAACCACGAUGACCGCAGACUCCCCAGCAACCACAAUUGCAGCCACCACACUGUGGGGCCAUAUGACCAACAUCAGCAAUCGCUACGGUAAACUGCAGCAAGCACACAAGCACACAACAGCAGUCGCAACCACACCAUCUGCGCGACCACACAACACCCACACAAGCACCGCGACCUGCAGCAACCACUGCGUCAGUGGCCACUUAUCAACUCUGUCUCAUGUUCAGAUUUGAGACCCGGAAAGGGAGGUCUGCCAUGCCUCCUGAGACAGAUCAGCAGAGGCCUGGGAGGCUUCUCGGACCUUUGGGUGGGAAUGAGCCGGUGGGAACUUGGAUCAGGUGCAGUACAAGGGAUGUACAAGCCUGCAACCACUGCGGAAGUUCUUCAAAGGACGAUGCUGACCUUACCAGCGUGUAGUAAAACAAGUACAUGAGGCGGCUCUGGGGGCCUGGGAUGCAGCAGUGAAAACACAACACAAGGUUCCUGCCCUCGUGGUGUUCACAGUCCAGUGGAGGAAGACCGGCAGACAAGAGGCAAGUACCUGUAUAUCAGAGGUUGGUAAGUGCUGGGGAGACAAUUAGCAAGGUGAGGGCGAGGGAAGUGCUGGGGAAGGGAUAAGGUGGUCAGGGAAGGCCCGAGAAGAUACGGUUUGGGCCGCAGAGAUCUCUGAAGGAAGUAGAACAUUCCAGGCAGGAAGAAUAGCAGGACACAGGCUUGGGGCAGGACACUUUCCAGGACAGCAAGGAGCCCAGUGAGGCUGGCGUGGGCUGAGUGGUGGGGCAGUGAUAGGAGGUGAGUGUGUGUGGAGGCAGAGGGUGGAUGGCGUGGGGCCUCGUGGACUUUAGGCCACUUGCCAAGGGAGCCCUGGGAGGGUUUUGAGAGGAGGAGUGAACUGGUCUGAGUGUUAAAAGGAUCUCUCUAGGAGACCCGAGAUACCCCCUUUAUCUGUUUGGCAGCUGCACCUGCUAAACUGUAGUCCCUCAGCUAAAUCAGGGGAAAGACAAAGAAACCAGUCUUUGUGGCCCCAUCCUUGGUCCUCUUACCCCACUUCUCCUUAGUGGAACCACCUGUCUGUGCAUGGCAUAUGCAUGGUCCUCUCCCCUCUUCUUUUGCAGGGCGGUUCCCUGCCCACCUCCUACCUCAUCAGUCAUUUACACUUUAGUGAGAUCAAGGAUGUGUAUUGCAUUACUGUCUCUAAGGUUAUGAGUUGAAUCGUGGCACCCAAAAGAUAUAUUGAAGGCCUAAUUUUCCAGUACCUCAGAAUGUGACCUUAUUUGGAAAUAAAGUCAUUGCAGAUGUAAUUUAGUUCAGAUAAGGUCAUACUAGAGUAGGGAGCACUCUUGGUGCAAUAUGAUUGGUGUCCUGGUAAGAGAGGGACCCCGAGGAUUGCUGGAAACCCCUCACAGCUAGGAAGAGGCAAGGGAAGAUCCUCCCCUAGAGAACUCAGAGGGAGUAUGACCCUGCCAGCAUCCUGAUUUCAGACGUCCGGGCUCCGGAACUGUGAGAGAACAAAUUUCUGUUGCUCUAAGCCACCCAGGUUGUGGCACUUAGUUAUGGCAACCUGAGGAAGCCGAUGCCAGGGAUAUUAUCUUUUUUAGAGACAUUCUUCUAAUUGCGAUGCUCUGUUUUGGGGGCAUCCUGGAGCUGCAUGAGAAUUCAGAAGGGUCUAUUUCUCUCCACGGCCAGGGUCUGUUCACAGGUCAGGGAUACAGAGUGAUCAAAACAGAGUGCCCUUCAAACAAACACUUGCAUGCAAAUAUUCAUUGUAGCAUCACUUAAAAUAGUGGAAGGUACAAACGACCCAAAUGUCCAUCAGCUGACCAAUGGCUAAAGAAAACACGGCAUAUCCAUACGUGGAGUAGUAUCCAGCCAUCAAAGAAACAGAAUAGUGCUUUGAUCUACAACACGCAUGGGCCUCGAAAACAUUAUGGUAUACAUGAAACCCAGAGUUCCUGCCCCUGCAUUCAAGUGAGAGGAGACAGAUGAUUAACAGAUAAAUAUAUAUUUAAGAAUGAACAGUCCCAGGAGACUGUAAGGCUUGCUUUGGAUGUCAAGCAAUCUAAUGAGAGCUCUACCAGGGGCAUCUCCUGUCUGGGUGACCAUGCAGCACAAUCUCGACUAAGGUGAUAUAUAACCGGACCAUCCUGAUCUCAAUCCUGUACGGUGCCGUGAGGUUGGGGCAUGGGAGAAGAGGAGGAGGGGGGCCAUGUUCCUUUCAUGAUCUCCUUUUACAUGUGUUCCCUCCAGCUGGUCACCACCCUGUGUCACCACUUGCACUUUGCAAAAGAGGAAGCUGAUGCAGAAGGCGUGAGAAGUCUGAGGAAGAGACAAAGCUGAGAGGUGAGGAAACUGAGGCCCACAGAGAUGCAGAACUUUCCCAGUGUCACCAGAACGUAAGUGGCGGAGCCAGGACUGGAGGACUGGAGGAAAGGCCCUCAAGUAACCAGCCUCAAAAGCAGGAUGCAGCUAAUUGAAUGGGACGGUGAUGAUUCCUUCUUCAGUUGGUCAAACAGCUAAAUCCGCCUUCGAACCUGCGGCCGCGCAGCUCCUGUGACGUCCGUUUCUGCCUGUUUCGGGUUUGGGGGAUGUGCAGCCACACACCUUCCCUGUCUGUGCUCCAAGCCCACUAACAGCCCGUUCACACCACUCCAAGUUCAUUACUGCAGAGAGGUGGGAGCACGUAAGGGGAGUGAACCGGAGACUUAGGACUCAACUGCACCAGGCACCUGAUGAAAAGUGAAGAAGCAGGACGCCCGGCCGGCUCAGUUAAGUGCCAGAUCCUUGAUUUCUGCUUGGGUCAUGAUGCCAGAGUUGUGGGAUUGAGCCGUGCGUCAGGCUCUGGGCUGAGCAUGGAGCCUGCUUAAGAUUCUCUCCCUCUGCCCCCUCCCCCGCUUGCAUGCUCUCUCUUUAAAAUAAGGAAAAAGUGAAGAAGCAAUAAAAGAAGGAGUGAGUGCCACUGCCUAGUAACUGUGGGACUCUAAGCAACAACUGGCCCUGGCCCCCACCCCCUUUCAAGGAGAAAGUCUUCAAAUAGCAGAGGGAGGAGGGGGGAGGAGGAGGAAGGGAGGAGAGGAGGAGGGGAGCAGGGCCUACCUCUCUGACCCCGCAGAGUCACCUCAUGUGAAUAAUUAAGCCCCGAACAAGCUGAGGAAACCGUUUUCUGCAAGCAGGGAUUCUGGGAAAAUGUGAAGACCCGAGCCGAAUUAGCCCUACGUGUUGUUCUAAUGCGUGUUUAACUGUGUGUGGUUUUUGCACGUUUAACGCGUUAAGUGUGUGUGUAAAUAUCUUUGAAAGCCCGAAGUCCCAGGGUCUCCCACGGAGGCCACUGUGAGGACUGCACAGGUUUCCUGCAUUCCUGAGUCUUUGAGGCCCCGCUCCCUGGGGACUCUGCACAGAGAAGGAGGCCAGAGCCUGCAGGUGAGGGCCCCCUGGGUCCCUCUGCCAGAUACCUGGGGGUGAGUUACAGGUGUCCCCGGAGCAGCAGAUCCACACCAAGGGUUACCAAGGCAACACCUGCUCCUCCUGGGACAAGAGAGGAAAGGAGUGCUGACAGAGUAGGAUUGCAUGAGCUGCCUUUCCAGAGGGAUCUGGGCUAAAAAUACCCAUGCAGUUGGCACUUGCUGGGUUUCGGGAGCCUCUGCCUCAUGUCUGGCUCCUGGUGUUCUGACCCUCCAAUGCAGGGUGCAGGACCACGGGGGUGUGGAGGGCAGGCGCUUGAGAACACCCCUGAUGGCCUUACCGUGGCGUGGGGGCCUGAGUCAGAGCUGGGGUGAAGAAGAGGAGGGACAUUGUCUUCCUGGCAGACCCAGGGCCUGUCUUGUUUGCCUGCACCGGAAGUCAAUAGGUUGGUCACUCCUGGGCAGCCCACCUAGGGUAAUCAAACCGCUGGCAGCUCCUGAGGACACUGGAGACCGGUACAGAAUGCUCUUGAACUUGCCUGCCCUUCCUGAGAGGUCCCUGCCAGCCUGGGAUUUGCUGACCCGGGGCUUCCCGGUUCCUUGGGUCCUACGCUGCAGGGGCACGCACUGAAGCAGAGAAAUGAGCUCAGACCCCUGCUCUUCCCAGGCUUCCAGUGCACGCUUCUGAAGGCAGCCUUCAUGCUGGGCCUAUGUACACAGACCGGGAGAGCUGAGGUCUGUGCUCAGCUUCAGUGUGUCCUGGGAUUCGGACAUCCGGGAGUCUCUGGGCAUCAAGGACCUCUGAAGCUGGCUGUUGAACAACCUGUGUGCCCUGCAGAUAGACGGCAGAUGACAGACUCUGUUUCAUGCCUCCAAGGCUGCAGAGCUGAAUCAGAGAAACCUCCAGUGGCUUAAGGUUCACUAGGUCCUUACCCAUCCCUUUCCCUCUCUGUGGCUGAGACUUCUCUGCGUGAGCCUGUGCAGCUCCUUCCUGGGAACCUCACCUGGCAGGGACCGUUGGCCCCCAUGGCAGCCGGGAGGAUGAAAGCAUUUUUUGGUCUGUGCCUGUUCCCUCCAGUCCGGGAGUCCCCUCUUUGAGGAGAGCUGUGACUCCUGAGUGGGGCACAUCUAUUAAUUUUUCAGGGCUGCCGUAACAAAUUACCACAAACUGAGCGGCUUCUAACUACAGAAAUGCAUCCUUUUGUAGUUCUGGAGGCCAGAAGUGUGAACUCAAGGUGCGGGCAGAGCCACGUUCCCUCAGAAGGCUCUAGGAGAACCUUCCUCACCUCUUCCUUGCUUCCAGUGGUUGCUGGCAGUCCUUGGCACUCCUUGACUUAUAGAUGCGUUACUCCCACCUCUGCCUCUGUUGUCACGUGGCCUUCUCUCCGUUCCUUCCUCCGGGCGGCAUUUUCACGGCUCCUUCACCUCUCUGGAUGUGAACAGGAGGCACCACAAUCUUCUGGUCUUGGUUUGGCUGCUUCAAGGGCCACCUUGUGGACAGUCACUGCUCUUCUGGAUAUUUCGUUCGUGUGCGUCCUGGCAGGACAACAGAAGCGCCCUGGGCUGUGGUGGGAGCGUUCUGAGAACGGGAUGCACUCUCUGUGCCUGGUCAGAUGCAGCUCUCCGUGGUGCUGUCUCUCAACAGCCCCUUCCUUGACUUGUAUUUUAUUUUAGCACUGCCUCCUAAAUUGCAGUGAAGUGUGAACUCACCUGUUUCCUCUCUGGACUCUAAGCUCCAUGAGGUCAAAGGCUGCGCUUUUACUCCAGAGAUUCAGCCAGGAGAAUGGUAGACCCUUAGUAGAUGUUUGCUGAGCAGAGGAUACUUCAGGGAGCUCACCAAGUCCAUACUCAGGGAAUAAAGUAGUGAAUGAACGAAUGUGGGCCAUUGUCAUGGAGUAUUACUUGACUUAGACAAUGACAGCUGCUGUAGAAAGCUCAACACAUGGACCUAUGACAGUAUCUGUCAGGAGGACCUGAUCAGCCCUGAGAGCCAAGGAAGGCUGGCUUCCUUGGAACGUGGCAUUCAAACUAUGCUUUGAAGAGACAGCCCUCUCUGUUGGAGUUUUUCUGCACUGGCUGAGGAAACUGGUUCUGCGUGAUGUGUUAUUGCCCCUCCUUCUGAACAGGAACAAUGUUUCAUAUGAAGCAAAUGUCUUUCAGUUCCUGGUGGCAUUUCUGACAGCUUCUGGAAGAGGGGUUCUGCUUGGCAGAUUCCUGGAGUGUCUUCUACAUGCUUCAACCUGUUCUCUCCCAGUGUGGUGCACUUCAGGUCUGGGUUCACAUUGAGCCACCUGAGAGGAGCUGGGAACGUGCUGUUUCUCAUCAUUUCCACCCAGCAAGAGAAUUGGAGAGAAAGAGCUACACCCAAGCCAAUUAUGGCAGGGUCCUUGGGGGCUGUUAUGUAAUCUUCCAGAGACAGUGGAAUGGAGUGGGCCUUGAGUUCCAGUGGGCACACUGGCUGAAGUCUUUUCUGUACUCCAGGUCUUGGGCCAUCUGUGGUGGAGCAAGCUCCCUCAAUGCUGAAGAAAGUCCUUUGGCAGAGAAGAAGCUUACAGCAUGCUGGGACCUGCCUGCUGCACCUGUGGGGGGAUUUAGUGCCUUUCAUUGGCUGAGCUCAACUGGAAGCAGAAGGAAACGUUGCCUGGAUAAUGCAGUCCACAGGGGUCUGUCUUCUGAAGGACAGCAUGGGGCAAAGAGAGCCAGAGGAUGGGGCAGAGAGGUGGCAAUGAGAACACAGUCUGACUGAUUGCUUCCAGAAUGCCUCCCCCCUUUCCAUCCAAUCUCACAGUCGUCAUCUUUGUUACAGCAUCAUCAUUCUACCCGUGGACUAUUGGGACAACCUCCUAACACAUCUCCCUAUCUCCAAUCCACCAAUACUAACGCCUGUGACACAGACUGAGUCCUACCACUUCCCUUUCAGAGAACUCUGGUGUUUCUCAUUCUCUACUCCUUACUGAAGAUGGCCAGAUGAAAGGCAAUUUAGGGGAUAAAAAGACAAUUCUGAGACUUCACAUCUUAUUUCUAAAAAGGAGAAUCAGUAUUAAGAAGCUGGAAAUGGGUAAUUUCACCAUAAAAAGGGUGUGGUUAAAAAGAGUGUAAAUUUGACUCUUUAAUGUCUUAGCAUCAUAGCCAAGUCUCUUCUCAGUUAAAAUUUUCCUUCCAGACUUGUUUUCCAGGACUUGUGUUCUGCAUUCUCCCAUGUGCCUUGGGUACCAGCCCUGACAUCACUGGCCUGCACCAUCCAUGCUGAGAAUUCUAUACCUUUGCUCUUGCUGUUCCUCCAGCCCAGAAAGCCCCUCCCCAGCUGGCCUCCUUGGUGGAUGGUUUGAUCAACAGUUCAUGGUUUUCUAGAUGGAGUGAAGAUACCAAAAUGGAGUAGGAGACAGAUCAGAAACCUCAAGAGGGGAAGCUCAAGGCAUAUAGGAGCGAAUUAUGGUGAGAACUUGCCUAGUUUCCAAGAGGUGGAUAGGAAUGGGAGAAGGCAUGCUAAUGUUGCACAGAGAGGGCUACAUGAGGACCCCAGUUAGUUUCCCUACACAUUGAUCGGUUCAGUUGAAAGCUCUUGUCAUGCCCUCAAAUAGCUCUUCCCAUGGAAUCAUUAUGAACCCAAAGAUGGCUUUGGCCUCUUGCCCACCCUCCCAGCAAUGAACACACACAGCCUGUUGGUCAUUGUUGUGAGAGAGACUCCCAUACUUGAGACCUGGACUCAGUGUGUGGGUUGUGCUUCUCCAGGCACUGCCUGUGACCAGACAGCACCAGACCUAGACAUUGGGCAUCUGCUCCUGCUGGGUCUGCAGAUGAAGAUAGGGCAGUAGAAGGUGAGAUGUACCCUGCUCUGAAUCAGAGUACAAUGACAGGCAGAUAAGCACAUGUAAAAUGAAACCACCAAACCCACUCCUACUUCUGAUCACUGAGCAGCCACCUCAGAAAUGUAAUAGGAAAAUUAUUUGGAAGCUAGUUCUCUGGAUCAAGACAGAUUUGUAUGAGGAGAAUGGAGUUAGGGUGUCAUCUCCUGGUUCUGUGGUCUCCCUGUAUUUCCUUGGCCAACAACACUUUUAGCCUUUGCUUCUUCACUUCCUCUUUCUUUUGGUUUGCUUUUCAUCCCCCAAUGCUUGAUCUCCAAUUGGGGUUCUCUGAGUUUCAGUUUUGCAUCCCAGUAAAAAAUGGGAUUCUCCCUCCAGAGGAGGACCUAAGUUUUUCUUUGUAAUUUACUAUAUCUUUAUAAAGUUCAGAGAACAUCCUCAGAUCCUAGACUGUUUAUAACUUCUGAGUUUCACUUUCUCUCAGCAGGUUUUCUUAUGGAGCAGGUUUGUUAGAAUAGAAUGAGCUGCUGAUAGAUAAGUGAAAUAUACAGAAAGAUUUCACAUAUUAACAGGAUUGAUUAAUCCAUGUGUAGACACCAUAACAUCAGGGUUGUGAGGGAACAGUAUGAAGUUUGGAAAAGUUUUUAUGGGGCUUAGCCUCUAAUAGGUGAUAAUAGGACCCAGGAGGCUCUCAGAUAAACUAAUUAUAAUUACAAUGCUAAUGAACAUGUUACAUAUAACUUCCUGAAUUACUUUAUGAAUGGAUAGCCAUGAUCUUUUAUUUUUAUACAUGUAUUUUAUUUCUGUAAUUUGGGGGAGAGGGCUUCAGGUUUAGAGAGUUGCAUUAAUUACCCUCCUCUGUUUGUGGAAUAUAAUUAUCAUCACUCAUUGCAUUUGCUUUCUUAUAUUAUUAUUUUUUAUUACAUAUUAUUUAUAACAUAUUAUGUUGUAUUACACAACAUUGACAUUUGUGCUGAAAUGCUCAAUCUAUGACCAUAAGAAUGCACAUAUCUAUGAGGAAUAGGAUGUUUUGUUUAUGUUUCUUUAAAAAAAAUUAUUAUGGAGAAUUUAAAACAUUUACUGAAAAAGACAGAUGGCCUAAUGAAUCCCCUACUCUUAUCCUUAUCCUACCUAUCCUGCCUAUCCCUUAUCCUACCUAUCACUCAGCUUGAAUGUUUAUAAAUGCAUGGCUCCUAUUUUCCCCUACUAUAUUGUUCCUUUCCAUCUCCUCAUUUUUUUUAAGGCAAUCCCAGGUGUACCAUUUAAUCUAUAUAUUUCAGUAUCUCUUUCUGAAAGACAAAGACUUCCCUUUUUAAACAUGACCAUAAUGCCAUUGUCGGACCUCAAAAAUCAUCAAUAACCUGUAAUAAUACCAAGUAUCCAGUCAUUGUCCGCAAUUCCUGAUUGUACUAUAAAUGUUCUUUUCUUUUGUUUAUUUUUAUUUGUUUAUACUAUGUUUGAAUCAAGAUCCAAACAAGGUCUAUGUAUGAUAAUUGGUGACUAUGUUUCUUAAAUUUCUUUUAAGCUAUAGUUUCCAUUCCAUUUCUUUUUGUCCUUGGAAGUUUUUGUUGUUGAUGAGAUGCAGUGGUUUCCUAGUAAGAGUUUCCCACCAUUUGUUGUUGUUGUUGUUGUUGUUGAUUGCAUCCUUUGAUAGUGUUUAUUUAACAUGUUCCUCUGUCUCUGGUAUUUCUACAAAUUAUAUAUUAGAUCUAGAGGUUUGAUCAGAUUCAAGUUUGAUUUUGGAGAAGGACUGACUACUUCAUAGGUGGUACUGUGCACUUCCAUGAGAAGUGAUGUGAUAUUUAAUUGUCUUUGUGUAAUAUUAGUAGCCCUUAAUGAUCAGUACUCAUAUUUAAUUCAGUAGAACUUGCAAAUUUAAGAUAUCCUAAUUCUGUGAUUUCUUUUUCAACAUUACUUUGGCUAUUCGGGGUCUUU